GAUAAGAAUAUGCAAGAAAAACACAUUUUAAUCAGAAGAUAUUUUUCCUUUAGGUUACAAUAUACUAAAUCUUUUUGGAGUGCAAUGCUAUACUCUCUAAAAACAUGAACAUCAUUUAUUUGAAGACACGGUUCUCUGUAGGGUCACUUGCCAUGACUUUAUUUUAGUAUAUUUCUGUGUGCAUGUGGCAGGGAAAACAUUGUUGUUUACUAGAAAUUCACUCUUUUAUCUGAAGAUUGGAGACUACAUAAGACUUUGACAGAUGGCGGGAAACCCUCAUGAACUGGAUAGAAGCCGGUAGAAGAAUGUCUGCGACUAAGCCGAGGGCCACUUGAUAAGGGUUGUUGAUGGUAAAACAGAUUGGAGACUACAUAAGACUUUGACAGAUGGCGGGAAACCCUCAUGAACUGGAUAGAAGCCGGUAGAAGAAUGUCUGCGACUAAGCCGAGGGCCACUUGAUAAGGGUUGUUGAUGGUAAAACAGAUUGGAGACUACAUAAGACUUUGACAGAUGGCGGGAAACCCUCAUGAACUGGAUAGAAGCCGGUAGAAGAAUGUCUGCGACUAAGCCGAGGGCCACUUGAUAAGGGUUGUUGAUGGUAAAACAGAUUGGAGACUACAUAAGACUUUGACAGAUGGCGGGAAACCCUCAUGAACUGGAUAGAAGCCGGUAGAAGAAUGUCUGCGACUAAGCCGAGGGCCACUUGAUAAGGGUUGUUGAUGGUAAAACAGGUAGAAGAAUGUCUGCGACUAAGCCGAGGGCCACUUGAUAAGGGUUGUUGAUGGUAAAACAGAUUGGAGACUACAUAAGACUUUGACAGAUGGCGGGAAACCCUCAUGAACUGGAUAGAAGCCGGUAAAUAGA